rnacentral:lncRNA from 1 species
UUUUCCAGUGUUGACUAAAAGCAAGCAGCAAGCUUGAAGCAUUACUUAACAGUGUAAUGAAAAACGUCAGUUCAAGCAAAUACUUUUUUUUUUAACAGAAUUUGUUUUCUUUGUUGUGUUGCAGAAAAAGGAACGGUGGCUGAGUUGCACAAGUGAACCAGGACGACACAAAAUUAAGUCAAAGAGGAAUGCUCAUUUUCCUAUUUUUUCACCCAGAGCCAUCUGCCGCGGUGUCUGCAAUGUAUUUCAGUCCUGACGAAAUCCCCCUUCCUCAGCGGUACCUCCGCACGCUGGCGUAAGGAUGAUGUGACAAGCGAAGCUGGCAAGUUGUUCCCACCUUUGUUGCCAAUUAUAAAGCAGUGUAAAGAGGCAAAUUCUGACAGCCUGUGUCCUUAGAGGGGUUUGAGUACUGAACUCGUAGUGAAAUCAUCAGCAGUGAGGCUCUUGAGCAUCCCUGGGGCUCUGGGCUGGGCUCUCUGCUCACCUUUUGCUCAAGUUGUCUUUCCCUGGCAUUCAUCACUUCUUUGCCUGACUCAGAUGUGUAUUUAAAGCUGCUGAUUAUUCAGCAGCAUAUAAACAUUUACUUGUAGAUACAGAGAGCACGGUUCCCUGUAAAGGGGAAUAAGCUUUCAGCUGGUUUGUUUUCUAAUCCUGGAGAAAUCUGCAAGGUCAGUGAGCCUGGCGUGUGUAAUGGAUCUGUUCAAGGCUGCCAAAUGUGUUGGGGGCUGUGGUCUGGAACUCCCAGUUUAUCUCAUUCCUUUGCUUUCUGCUGCUCAUUAAAAGAUCUA